rnacentral:misc_RNA from 1 species
ACCCUCUGAAUUUUUAUUUUCUCGCAGGCGUUUCGGGUGGUUGGAAGAUCGAUUUGUUCAACGCCGACUCCACCGAACGAGGCUGGCCAACCGAUGGCUCGCAAGAGCGUCCAAGGCAAGACUGCGUAAUGAUCGGCCGCCUUUUUCGNGAGAGCGCGGCGGGAGCAGCCGAACCGACCUAUAUAUAUAGGGGUUGGCGCCCUCGGGUGUCCGAGGUCGCUUCUCCCAGNUCAUCAGACAAACAGACAGGCGUCCAGCAAGCGCGGUCUUGAGCAAUCAAGGUGGCUCUGCGUGGAGGUCUGGCUGCGGGUGUUGGAAUCCUANCCUUCCCAUCUCUGCGGAGGGUAGGGUUGCACAGUUUUGGGUUCGCUGUAUUCAGUGAACAAAAGCCCUUCCCUUGGAAUGGCUGCGCGCAUUGGUAAUGCUUUGCGCUGUUCGCCCUGCUUCGGGAUGAUGAAUCGCAUUGCGAUUGCGGUCGUCUUCUUGAGCGGCGUGGGCGUUCACGUGUGGGCUUCUACCUCUGGAAGCUUCACAACGGUGGGCUUUCGCAAAUGAUCUUGUUAUCGUUGCGAUGCUGACCGCGUGCUGUCGGGCGUAGGACUGCCUCUGUGGUGGCCCUUGCUCGUCAGUGAUGUAUC